GUACACUCCUGCGGGAGGCAGCAGUGGGGAAUAUUGCACAAUGGGCGCAAGCCUGAUGCAGCCAUGCCGCGUGUAUGAAGAAGGCCUUCGGGUUGUAAAGUACUUUCAGCGGGGAGGAAGGCGAUAAGGUUAAUAACCUUGUCGAUUGACGUUACCCGCAGAAGAAGCACCGGCUAACUCCGUGCCAGCAGCCGCGGUAAUACGGAGGGUGCAAGCGUUAAUCGGAAUUACUGGGCGUAAAGCGCACGCAGGCGGUCUGUCAAGUCGGAUGUGAAAUCCCCGGGCUCAACCUGGGAACUGCAUUCGAAACUGGCAGGCUAGAGUCUUGUAGAGGGGGGUAGAAUUCCAGGUGUAGCGGUGAAAUGCGUAGAGAUCUGGAGGAAUACCGGUGGCGAAGGCGGCCCCCUGGACAAAGACUGACGCUCAGGUGCGAAAGCGUGGGGAGCAAACAGGAUUAGAAACCCUAGUAGUCCCAU
rnacentral:rRNA from 1 species